rnacentral:rRNA from 1 species
UAGGGAAUCUUCGGCAAUGGGGGGAACCCUGACCGAGCAACGCCGCGUGAGUGAAGAAGGUUUUCGGAUCGUAAAGCUCUGUUGUUAAGGAAGAAAGAGUGUGAGAAUGGAAAGUUCAUGCUGUGACGGUACUUAACCAGAAAGGGACGGCUAACUACGUGCCAGCAGCCGCGGUAAUACGUAGGUCCCGAGCGUUGUCCGGAUUUAUUGGGCGUAAAGCGAGCGCAGGCGGUUAGAAAAGUCUGAAGUGAAAGGCAGUGGCUCAACCAUUGUAGGCUUUGGAAACUGUUUAACUUGAGUGCAGAAGGGGAGAGUGGAAUUCCAUGUGUAGCGGUGAAAUGCGUAGUUAUAUGGAGGAACACCGGUGGCGACAGCGGCUCUCUGGUCUGUAACUGACGCUGAGGCUCGAAAGCGUGGGGAGCGAACAGG